GAUGAAGAACGCAGCGAAAUGCGAUAAGUAAUGUGAAUUGCAGAAUUCAGUGAAUCAUCGAAUCUUUGAACGCACAUUGUGCCCGCCAGUAUUCUGGCGGGCAUCCCUGUUCGAGCGUCAUUUCAACCAUCAAGCCCCGGGCUUGUGUUGGGGACCUGCGGCUGCCGCAGGCCCUGAAAAGCAGUGGCGGGCUCGCUGUCACACCGAGCGUAGUAGCAUACAUCUCGCUCUGGGCGUGCUGCGGGUUCCGGCCGUUAAACCACCUUUUAACCCAAGGUUGACCUCGGAUCAGGUAGGAAGACCCGCUGAACUUAAGCAUAUCAUAAGCGGAGGA
rnacentral:misc_RNA from 1 species